rnacentral:misc_RNA from 1 species
AAUUCACCAAAAUUACAUCAUCCCCUACCAAUUCUAGGACUAUAUAUUAUAUUAUUAUUUCAUGUCUUCUCACAUAUUCCCACACCUUCACUACUUCUACGUGCAACCCACACCUCAAUUACCAUUCACAACCCCUUGCUUCCUGAGCCACACGUCAUCGCUCGCGCGUGGAGAUCUCUUUGUUCAACGCGCUUUGCAGAAAAAUUUGCCCUAGACCACUUCCCUUCUCUAUAUCCACCAUGAACAACCACCGUCAACCACUCCGACCACGGCUGAAUUGCCAUUAAUUUUUUGUAGUAAUUCAGAUCUCGUUUUCUCAAUUCUCGAUUUUCCCUUCGCAAGGGCUAAAAGAUGGAACCUAUGGAUAUCGUUGGUAAAACAAAGGAAGACGCUUCACUUCCAAAAGCAACUAUGACAAAAAUUAUCAAAGAAAUGUUGCCCCCAGAUGUUCG